GGGGGGGGCAAGCGUUGUUCGGAAUUACUGGGCGUAAAGGGCUCGUAGGCGGCCAACUAAGUCAGACGUGAAAUCCCCAGGCUUAACCUGGGAACUGCGUCUGAUACUGGAUGGCUUGAAUUCGGGAGAGGGAUGCAGAAUUCCAGGUGUAGCGGUGAAAUGCGUAGAUAUCUGGAGGAAUACCGGUGGCGAAGGCGGCAUCCUGGACCGACAUUGACGCUGAGGAGCGAAAGCUAGGGGAGCAAACGGGAUUAGAUACCCCGGUAGUCCUAGCCCUAAACGAUGAAUGCUUGGUGUGGCGGGUAUCGAUCCCUGCCGUGCCGAAGCUAACGCAUUAAGCAUUCCGCCUGGGGAGUACGGUCGCAAGGCUA
rnacentral:rRNA from 1 species